CACGUAGGGCGCAAGCGUUGUCCGGAAUUAUUGGGCGUAAAGAGCUCGUAGGUGGCCUGUCGCGUCGGCUGUGAAAACUCGGGGCUCAACUCCGAGCUUGCAGUCGAUACGGGCAGGCUAGAGUUCGGCAGGGGAGACUGGAAUUCCUGGUGUAGCGGUGAAAUGCGCAGAUAUCAGGAGGAACACCGGUGGCGAAGGCGGGUCUCUGGGCCGAUACUGACACUGAGGAGCGAAAGCGUGGGGAGCGAACAGG
rnacentral:rRNA from 1 species